CGGGGGGCAGCAGUGGGGAAUUUUGGACAAUGGGCGAAAGCCUGAUCCAGCCAUGCCGCGUGAGUGAAGAAGGCCUUCGGGUUGUAAAGCUCUUUCGGCCGGAACGAAAUCGCACUCGUGAAUAUCGAGUGUGGAUGACGGUACCGGAAGAAGAAGGACCGGCUAACUACGUGCCAGCAGCCGCGGUAAUACGUAGGGUCCGAGCGUUAAUCGGAAUUACUGGGCGUAAAGCGUGCGCAGGCGGUUUUGUAAGCCAGUCGUGAAAUCCCCGGGCUUAACCUGGGAAUGGCGAUUGGGACUGCAAGGCUCGAGUGCGGCAGAGGGGGGUGGAAUUCCACGUGUAGCAGUGAAAUGCGUAGAUAUGUGGAGGAACAUCAAUGGCGAAGGCAGCCCCCUGGGUCGACACUGACGCUCAUGCACGAAAGCGUGGGGAGCAAACAGGAUUAGAUACCCCGGU
rnacentral:rRNA from 1 species